AUUGAACGCUGGCGGCAUGCCUUACACAUGCAAGUCGAACGGCAGCACGGGAGCAAUCCUGGUGGCGAGUGGCGAACGGGUGAGUAAUAUAUCGGAACGUGCCCAGUCGUGGGGGAUAACGCAGCGAAAGCUGUACUAAUACCGCAUACGAUCUAUGGAUGAAAGCGGGGGACCGCAAGGCCUCGCGCGAUUGGAGCGGCCGAUAACAGAUUAGCUAGUUGGUGGGGUAAAGGCCCACCAAGGCGACGAUCGGUGGCGGGGCGGAGAGGACGACCAGCCAAACUGAAACUGGGCCACGGUCCAGAUCCCUACGGGGGGCAGCAGUGGGGAAUUUUGGACAAUGGGGGCAAGCCUAAUCAAGAAAUGCCGGGUGAGGGAUGAAGGCCUUCGGUUUGUAAACUGUUUUUGUAGGGACCGAAACGGUGAGCUUUAAUACAGUUUGCUAAUGACGGUACCGAAAGAAUAAGCACCGGCUAACUACGUGCCAGCCGCCGCGGUAA
rnacentral:rRNA from 1 species